UAGAGGCAGAAGAUCACCUCCCUUGACCUGCCGGCCAUGUUCUUGUUAAUUCACCCCAGGAUCCCAUUGGCCUUCUUGAUCACAAUGGCACACUGCUGGCUCAUGACCAACCUGUUGUCCACCAGGAUACCCAGGUCCUUCUCCUCUGAGUUAAUUUCCAGCACAUCAGCCCCUAACCUAUACUGAUACAUGUGGUAUCAUGUAUGCUCCUUGGGUGUAGGGCCUCCACUUACCUUUGUUGAAUUUCAAGAGGUUCCUCUCUUUCCAUCUCCCCAGACUGUCAAGAUCCUUCUGAAUGGCAGCACAGUACUGUCAGCCACUCCUCUCAGUUUUCUAUCAUCAGCAGACUUGCUGAAGAGGCACUCUAUCACUUCACACAGGCGCCCCAUCCAUUGUCUCUCACACCCUUCCUGGAGCAUCUACCCUGCUUAUCUCUCCAACAUUGUGCUACACAAGGCUGAGGUAGAACCGGGUGUUUGCGCUGUGGUUCAUAAAGAAAAUCUCUACACUUAUCAAGAAAAAUCUGCACUCCAGAACCCACAAAACUGGGAAUAAUUGAUAAAACAUAAAAGCUAUGGAGAAGAUCUUGAAGUUAAAGAUGCCUGUUGCAGCAAAAAGGUAAACAGUGUACCAAUCUGUAUAAAAAAAGGUCUCUUUGUCUGCAAUAUAUGUGAUGUUUUCUUCCUCUGUUCAGUGUGGAUGUAGUGCCAGCUGGAGAACUGUUUGGUUUUGAACACUUUGAGCCCUCGCAGGAAGAUGCAUGUGAAGUGAGCUGUGUCCAGCCUUUUUCUUGUUUCUCCUCUUGACUCUAUGGCAAGAUUAAAGGAAUUGUGUUUGUUCUGUCUAAAGAAGAGAGAAACCAAAGCAGACACAUUAGCCAUCUUUGAAAACAUAACUGGCAAAGAGGUCAGGAAAAAACCUAAAACAGGACAAAAGCAAACAAUCAACAAGCAGUAGAUAGUCUACAUGCAUUAUGGGAGAUUUAGUUUUUAUAUUAGGAAAUGUCUGAAAGCAACAGCCAUGAGACAGUAUUGUAGGUUAUCUAGGAAGAUAUUGAUUUCUUCAUUAUUGGGGUUAGGAUCUGGUUGAAAAGAUUGCUCAGGAAUGAUUAGGUAUAGCUGAUGAGUGGAUUGAUGGCCUUUCCAAAUCCCCUCCUGUUUAUAAUAGCUCUAUAAAUGUGUUGGAUUUAAUAUCAGUAUAAUAAAGGAAACUCAAAAUCGUCUUCAACUAUCAGAAGAGAUAACAGGAUUUCAGGAUCCCAGCAUCAGUGUUUUUACUUCCUGUCUUCAGCAAAGCAGAGUGGGGCUGGCCUUUCGCAUAGGCAGUGUAGGCAUCUGCCUAAACCAUCAGGUCACCCAAUCCAGCAAAACACCCCAGUCUUGUUCUCUGCUGCUUACUCCUGGAAAGUCAGGAUGGAGAGGGAGAGGUAGCUAGACCAAGCUUGCAUUGGGUUGAAGGAACCUUCCCAGAAGCAUCACCUCUGUCCUCUGGAAAAAGAGGGAACAGAACCUCAGCUCCAGUCCAGCACUAUCUUUUUCUUUCCCUUUGCUUUUCCUGAGGCAGGAUUAGAAAUGUGCUUGUAUUUUGCUCACUGUUGAGAAGCCUGUGCCAUCCUUCCAGAAGUGAGAGAUACUGUUCUUAGUAAACCUUCCAUGAUUAUCUCAGCAGUCCAAAUACAGCAAUUCUUUGGCUAAAGUCACCUUUGUCUAGGGAAUACAGACAUCUCAAGAGAGAAUUUGAGGGUGUAUA